rnacentral:rRNA from 1 species
GUAGGUGGCAAGCGUUGUCCGGAAUUAUUGGGCGUAAAGCGCGCGCAGGCGGUUCUUUAAGUCUGAUGUGAAAGCCCACGGCUCAACCGUGGAGGGUCAUUGGAAACUGGAGAACUUGAGUACAGAAGAGGAAAGCGGAAUUCCACGUGUAGCGGUGAAAUGCGUAGAGAUGUGGAGGAACACCAGUGGCGAAGGCGGCUUUCUGGUCUGUAACUGACGCUGAGGCGCGAAAGCGUGGGGAGCAAACAGGGAUUAGAUACCCUGGUAGUCCACGCCGUAAACGAUGAGUGCUAAGUGUUAGGGGGUUUCCGCCCCCUUAGUGCUGCAGCUAACGCAUUAAGCACUCCGCCUGGGGAGUGCGGCCGCAGGGCUG